UAUAAAUAUUAAAAAUUAUAAUGACUAAUACUAUGAAAUUGAUUUUAUUAAAUACUGCUAAAUGUACUUUAGACACUAUAUAUAUCAAAAAAGACCCGCAGACAAAGAUCCUAACGUCAUAGAUUCGGUUUCUAUUCCCAAGAAGUCAAACAAAGAUUCAGAUUUUGACAACUGUAAUCAGAAACAAGAACUAAAAAAAAAAAAACAUUUUGGACGACUUGGUUCGUAAUAGAUAUGCCCACUCGAAUCAGGGUUCAUUUUACAUUUAUGUAAUAUUAUAUAAUUACAUUUAUGUAAUAUGGACUAUGUUCAAUCCAAUACUUAAUAUGGGCUAUGUUCAAUCCAAUACCUGCCUCUUUCCCCCUUCUCCCCGCUCAUCUAUCUACCCUCUAUCUAUUGAUCGAUCCCUUAAUAAAUAUGGGAAAAAAGACAUCAAAGGGAUUAAGAAGCUCGGCUUCUCUAAAGUAUCUGUAAAACUUUGAUCAAAAGAAAGUGUUAACCAAAUGGUAAUUAACUCUUAAGAACCAAAACAUGACCUGUUAUAUCCCCAACUAUAGAAUAUUCAGACAAGGGAUCGUCAGAAACAUCCCUGUUGAUAUGGCAUCGAAGAAACUUAGUGCAGUUCAGUCAGUUUGUCGUUACGACAUCAAUCGCUCAAAUACUUAGUGCCAUCAUUUGGAUUUUCAUGCGUGACAAACAAUCAAUUUUUUGAUAGACAUUUAGUCAGUGUCACCGAUUAACAAACAGUUAUUACCCAGCAUCUGCUAGCAAACAUCAUUGUCGAUAAAAGGAAACAGAGAACUUCUCUCCAACAUUAUUCACCUUUUUCAAGAUCCAGAAGUACCAGAAAUUAUGAACUCUAACGCUACCUCAGCCUCUCGACCUGCUCGUCCACGCCCGACUCGAGUAGUUAUACUAUGGCAGUUCUAACCCAUCGCUAUUUUUAAUUAGUGUCGUGUGCAACAAGCGGGUAUAUAUGGUCCAUCAAGAACAAGUCGCGGUAACAGUCGAAAUGUUCAUCGUGCUCUCGGACGAACGCGACAUUCUGAGCCUGUCAGCGGAGGAAUUAAAAUUUGUGCCGAAAGUGUAUCUUCUGAGCAAGUUUGCUCGGUUUGUGGAUCACGUGUGGGAUAGGCUACCGGAACAUUUAAGAGCGGAUCCGGAAGUGCGAGGAUACCGUCGGUGCAACGAGCACUAUAACCAGCCGUGGCGGCGCGAUCACAUCGACGGGCCCCCGCCGUACCGCAAAGAUUGCACUCUGUGCAAAUUGAAAUAGGUAAAAGAAAUAUUUUCGGAAAUAUACGGAAAAAGAUGUACCCUUUGGUUAUCACUCUCAGACGCUAAUCAGUGAGUGGUACACCUACAACUACGCCGGUCGAGCAUAUAAAUUAUGCUAUAAAUGUUGUGAUAAACACCAUUCGAGAAAGAUUGAACAGAGUAUUGUUAAGUAUGGAAAAAAACUAUUUGCAACAGUCACUAGUUACUAGCACAUGUGAAAAAUCUAGACAAUUGGUGUCACCUGUGUUUUCAUGUACCGCCGUACCGCAAAGAUUGCACUCUGUGCAAAUUGAAAUAGAGAUGGAAGACAGUCUCACCUUACGAGAGGAAAAUCUUAGUACUCUGACAGACUGGUUCGCUAUUUUUAGAACAAAGGCUCUUGGGCAGCAUUUGGGCGCCGUUUCUUAGAAUUGGAGAGGGUAAUGUUUGGUAUCAGAUUACAGGGGUUACACAAAGGCGAUAAUUAUUUUUCUUAGAAUUGGAGGGGGUAAUAAAAUUGGUAUCAGAAAGCAUCAUCGCUAUUUUUAGAACAAAGAUCCUUAGGCAGCGCUAUUUUCAGUGCCGUGUGCGGGUAUAUAAAGCAAGUGAAAUAGAAUAGGAACCAUCAGUCGUUCGAAAUCAUUGAGAUAAUCACUAGUUCGCUGUCACGUUUACUAGCAACGAUGUUUUACACCAUGUCAACCGUGAAUAAUCAGAUCAACGAACAGCAGAGUGCGAAGAAGCUGCAAUUACCCAACGAUAAUUCACCAAAGAUGGAAAAAGAAUCAUCUAGGAUCUUGGCUAGAAGAUACUAUUUGACGAAGACUGGGUACAAGUAUCUCGACAUCGGAAUGUCAACGGAAUGACAACGUCUCAACGCCGAGCCGUGUGGAAAUCGCUCUCGGUGACAAUCAUGGCAAGGAGCUACGUCUAUCAUACGGCGUAUGGAAAGAACUCAUGAAUCAACGGGGCAUCAUCGCCAGCUUUUUUAAGAAUGAUGUGGACAAAGCGUUAAGAUUGAAGCGUCAAAAAGAACUUGAACAUCUUUGUGCUCAGUUAAUAAUAAUAACGUAAAAGAUAUGGCUACCGCAGAAGUAUCAUGACCUACCCUAUAAUCACACUAUAAGCAAUGUUAUGUCUAAAGAACAUUUCUUCAACAAUAAUCCACGGAUAAAAGAAAUAUUGAUUAUUUUUAUUAAACCAACAAGUCCCGAAGACAUGAAAAA
rnacentral:lncRNA from 1 species